rnacentral:rRNA from 1 species
AUACGUAGGGGGCGAGCGUUGUCCGGAAUGAUUGGGCGUAAAGGGCGCGUAGGCGGCGCGGUAAGUCUGGAGUGAAAGUCCUGCUUUCAAGGAGGGAAUUGCUUUGGAUACUGCCGCGCUUGAGUGCAGGAGAGGUUAUCGGAAUUCCCGGUGUAGCGGUGAAAUGCGUAGAGAUCGGGAGGAACACCAGUGGCGAAGGCGGGUAACUGGAUUGUAACUGACGCUGAGGCGUGAAAGUGUGGGGAGCAAACAGGAUUAGAUGCCCUGGUAGUCCACACUGUAAACGAUGAAUGCUAGGUGUAAGAGGUAUCGACCCCUUUUGUGCCGGAGUCAACACAAUAAGCAUUCCGCCUGGGGAGUACGGCCGCAAGGUUGAAACUCAAAUGAAUUGACGGGG